UUGCAGUUCCUGUUUUAUGCAAAGUGAACUUCCUCACAGUCGGUCACACCGUAAAUACUCGUUCUGCUGCUGUCACCUGAUCAGAUCAGCUUCAACAUCAACAUGUUGCGUGUCGCUGUGCUGCUGCUGGCCGCUGGAUCCUGUGUGAAGUGUGAACAGCUGACGCAGCCGACCUCUGUGACUGUGCAGCCAGGUCACCGUCUGUCCAUCACCUGUCAGGUGUCUUAUUCUGUCUCCAGCUACUGGACAGCUUGGAUCAGACAGCCUGCAGGGAAAGGACUGGAGUGGAUUGGAGAGAAAUAUACAGGAGGCACACACAUAAAAGAUUCCCUGAAAAACAAGUUCAGUUUGGAUCUGGACUCAUCCAGAAACACAGCGACUCUAAACGGAGACAAUAUGCAGCCUGAAGACACUGCUGUGUAUUACUGUGCCAGAGACACACAGUAACACAACCCAUCAGUAGACCUGAACA